ensembl:snoRNA SNORA70 Small nucleolar RNA SNORA70
CUGCAGCCAAUUAAGCCGACUGGGCUCCUUUCCUCAUGGGGGCCCAGUGUGCAAGGGCUGCAAACAGCAGCUUCCUUGGUAGUGUAAUGCAGUCUAUUUCUUGCAUAGGUUGCUCCAAGGGACCUUGGAGACGGGG